AGUAACACGUAAACAACCUGCCUUCAGGAUGGGGACAACAGACGGAAACGACUGCUAAUACCGAAUACGUUCCACGGGCCGCAUGACCUGUGGAAGAAAGGGUAGCCUCUACCUGUAAGCUAUCGCCUGAAGAGGGGUUUGCGUCUGAUUAGGCAGUUGGUGAGGUAACGGCUCACCAAACCAACGAUCAGUAGCCGGUCUGAGAGGAUGAACGGCCACACUGGAACUGAGACACGGUCCAGACUCCUACGGGAGGCAGCAUG
rnacentral:rRNA from 1 species